rnacentral:rRNA from 1 species
AUUGAACGCUGGCGGCAUGCCUUACACAUGCAAGUCGAACGGUAACGCGGGGAAACCUGGCGACGAGUGGCGAACGGGUGAGUAAUGCAUCGGAACGUGCCCAGUAGUGGGGGAUAGCCCGGCGAAAGCCGGAUUAAUACCGCAUACGACCUACGGGUGAAAGAGGGGGAUCGCAAGACCUCGCGCGAUUGGAGCGGCCGAUGUCAGAUUAGGUAGUUGGUGGGGUAAAGGCCUACCAAGCCUACGAUCUGUAGCUGGUCUGAGAGGACGACCAGCCACACUGGAACUGAGACACGGUCCAGACAACUACGGGUGGCAGCAGUCGAGGAUUUUUCUCAAUGGGGGAAACCCUGAAGGGGCGACGCCGCGUGGGGGAUGAAGGUCUUCGGAUUGUAAACCCCUGUCAUCUGGGGACAAUGUUGCUCACCUAAUACGUGCGCAAUUGAUAGUACCGGAAGAGGAAGCAGUGGCUAACUCCGUGCCAGCCGCCGCGGUAAUAC